AGAUCAAACGGCAGCGCGGGGUAACCUGGCGGCGAGUGGCGAACGGGUGAGUAAUACAUCGGAACGUGCCCUGUGAUGGGGGAUAACUACGCGAAAGCGUAGCUAAUACCGCAUACGACCUACGGGUGAAAGUGGGGGAUCGCAAGACCUCACGUCAUAGGAGCGGCCGAUGGCGGAUUAGCUAGUUGGUGAGGUAAAGGCUUACCAAGGCAACGAUCCGUAGCUGGUCUGAGAGGACGACCAGCCACACUGGGACUGAGACACGGCCCAGACUCCUACGGGAGGCAGCAGUGGGGAAUCUUGGACAAUGGGGGCAACCCUGAUCCAGCAAUGCCGCGUGUGGGAUGAAGGCCUUCGGGUUGUAAACCACUUUUGGCGGGGGCGAAAUAUCGAGUGCUAAUACCAUUCGGUGAUGACGGUACCCGCAGAAUAAGCACCGGCUAACUACGUGCCAGCAGCCGGGGUAAUACA
rnacentral:rRNA from 1 species